UAUUUAAAAUCACUCCUUGGUGAACUGAGGAGAAAGAAUGAUGAGAUCCUUGAAUGCUUUACUAGUGAUCCUGUGGCUUCAAUUGAUCUGGGUGAGCAGCCAACAAAAAGAGGUGGAGCAGCAUCCGGAAUCCCUCAGUGUUCCAGAAGGAGCCAUGGCUUCUCUCAACUGCACUUACAGAGACAGUGCUUCUCAGAACUUCGGGUGGUACAGACAGUAUCCUGGGAAAGGCCUCAAGCUGCUGGUGUCCACAUUCUCCAGUGGCAACAAAGACGAAGGAAGAUACACAGCACAUCUUAAUAAAGCCAGCCGGUAUUUUUCCCUGCAUAUCAGAGGCUCCCAGCCCAGUGACUCAGCCACCUACCUCUGCGCAGUGAGCACACAGUGCUCCCCAGACACCUGCAGCCUGCACCAAAACCUAUGGGGACUCCUGCAGGGCCUGAGGCAGAUACCCCGACAAGGCCUCCAGCUCCUCCUGAAACACACCUCAGGAGACAGCACCAAAGGCUUCCGGGCCACUCUCAACAAGGCCAAAGCAUCCUUCCACUUGCAGAAGCCCUGGGCUCAGGAGGAGGAUGCAGCUGUGUACUUCUGUGCUCUUUGUGGCACAGUGACCGCUCUUGCAAGGGAAGCAGAGCGCAAACCCUUCAGAGUUAUGCCAAGUACUUCCUGCCAGCCUGUCUAUGGCCACAGUGGCACCUUCCUCUAG